rnacentral:snRNA from 1 species
GUCCUGGAAAAGGGGAAACCUCGACAUUGGCAGCACAUAUACUAAAACUGGAACGAUACAGAGAAGAGUAGCAUGGCCCCUGCGCAAGGAUGACAUNGCUGGAAUUAAACUGCUGUU